AGCACCACAUACAAACAAAGAUGUUGUGUCUGCCGAAAACUAAAAUAAAUAUUAAAAAUUCUCUCUCUAAAAAAAAAAAGAGUAAUGUGAAGCUAGGUUUGGGAAUACUAGAUGAAGAUAGGUCUUUAAGAACAGGAUAUUAUGAAGCCAGGAAAAUGUUCACAAAAAAGCAGAGGACAUCAGUGCUUAGCAGGCUUGGAAGAGACUCUCCACUGGUUCUCUGGGAUGAUCCCAAACUUAAGUCACUGCUUGGGAGGUUCACAGGGAUAUGAUUUGACAAGGCCCAAAAGAAGGUGUUAUGAAAGGAAAAAACUUUAGGUUUUGAGGCCAACUAGGGUAAUCAUAGCCCCUAGUAAGAAAAAUGAACUGAGAAAUUCAAGAAGGCAAAGGAUUAUCAUUAUUUACUGUGAAACUUCUUCAACUAAGCAGCUUACCUGCCUUACUCUCAGGUCCGGGAUGACCAAACCUAUCCAGUUUGCUUGAGAGUGAAAGGAUUUGGGGAAUGCGGGUUUUCUUCAAAAUUUUUUUUUUUUUUAGAAUUAUCUGUGAGCUGCACUACCCAAUUCCUCUACCCUCUAUCCCAACUGCUUCCUGGGGGAGCAGUAGCUCCCCAACUCCUGCUGUCUUGAAUGCAUGGCCUUGUUUGGUAUGUGCACAUGCCCAGCAUGGGGGUUUUCAAUGAUAAAACACACCCUAUACUAAGGACAUACUAAACAAGUCCUAUCGUGAAGUGGAGCUCUCAAUAUUUUAAUCUACUUUCAGUUCAUCUACCUAAUAUCUGAGGAAAGUUUUCACAGGAAAGGAAACUGUUGGGUAAAAAAAAUCAAGGCUGAUCAGGAAUAGUUUAUUUAUUUUUAUUUUUUUUAUUAUUAUUUUUUUUAAUAUUUAUUUAUUUUUUUAGUUCUCGGUGGACACAACAUCUUUGUUUGUAUGUGGUGCUGAGGAUCGAACCUGGGCCGCACGCAUGACAGGCGAGCACGCUACCGCUUGAGCCACAUCCCCAGCCCAGGAAUAGUUUAGUCCAAAAUAAAUGCUGCUGCUCAUUCCUACCUAGUGCUUUGCCUUUACCUUUUGGAUCUAAUGUUUCCUUGUAGCAAAUCUUUAGGAAAUUUCUUAUGUCUGGGCCCUAACACAUCACAUUAGUGUCUUUCUAUGUACUAUGCACAUUCAUUUCCAGCAAUCACUAAAUCAAGUAUGUUCUUCCAAAAUAGAAUGAACAUAUGCUUUUCAUCCCAGGAUAGCUUUAUAUAAUCCCUGGCAACACAGAAUAUCACAUUUGGCCCACAGUAGGGAUUCAAUAAAUAAUUCAUUAUGUGCAGUAUUAAUCAGGAAAUUAUAACUUUUUGGCCUUUGCUCCUUUUUAGAAUCAGUAUUAUAAAUAAUUAUAGUUACUGAAGGAAAAAAAAAAAACUACACCAAUUCUUCUUGAAACAGUUAUAACAGUUCUCCCCUAUGGAACCAAAUUUUCCAUGUUCUUUAGAAGGUAGGAGUGGUUAGUUUGCUCUGCAGCUUAGAUCAAUGCACUGAAUACCUGGUGGGAAGAGAGUCCUUAGAUUGGCUGUUCUUCAAUUUUAUUGUGUGUAGAUUCACACAGACAGCUUGGCAAAAUGCAGAUUCCUGGCUCCUAAACUUAGAGGCUCCCAUCCAACUGUUCUAGGUUUGGGCCCAGAUCUGCAGUUUUAUGAACCAUCUGAAAUCUCUGUCAUGUGAGGAUAUGAUAAGAAGAUGUCUUUCGGCAGGCCAGAAAGAAUGCCUUCACCAGACAGACCAUCUGCCAGUACCCUGGUCCUAUACUUCCCAACCUCCGGAAUGGCCCUCUCUAAGUUGCUGAGGCUCACCUUCAAUUUGGGAUCCUCUUACUUUACCCUGCUGAGUUGCUGAGAUUACAGAUUGAUAGAUGAGGAAUAAAACAAGACCAGAUGCUGUGGUUUCCAGGAUGCACUUGACUUCCCAUCCUUUAUAACCUGGAGCAAUUUUUCUGUCUGCUCUUGAUGCGUCCAUCAGAAACAGAAUCAGAAUGAUUUCCAGGCUUAAGAACAUGGACUUUGGCGGAACUAGGGAUAUAUAGCUCAGUUGGCAGAGUGCUUGCCUCUGAUGCACAAGGCCCUAGGUGUAAUUCCCAGCACACACACACACACACACACACACACACACAACAACAACAACAACAACAUGGAUCUUUGCCACAGUCUGGCUGGGCACAAAUCACGAGCCACCACACAGCUUGUAGAUUCAAACAGCAACUCUUUAUUCCCGAACUCACACCAGCCGUCUACAAUCACGUUCUGGGGAAAUCCACGUUCUCUGCCCAAAUCCACCUCCACUGGGCUUCUAUCUCCCAAAAUAUACUGUCUGAAUCCCUUGAGAACUCAAGGGGAACUCAGGCAGCAGGAUACGCCCUAUUCCCAGCAGGAAUAAUCUUAAACCUGGAACGCCCUAAACCCGAUUAUCCUAAACCGGGAACACCCUAAUCCGCCCUGGUCCUUGAGCAAGGUCACCUACAUGCAAUGUCACUGCAACAUGGGGUACGCUGGCAAGGAAAUUGUCAUACCUACUUGGCUAAUGGCUCCCAGCAGAUCUUUACAGAUCUGGUUUGAAUUUAAAAUCUGCUGUUUACUACCUUUAUAGGAACAAGAUAACCGGGUGUGGUGUUACAUGCCUGUAUGGUGAGUUCAAAGCCAGCCUCAGCUAAACAAGGGAGGCACUUAGCAACUCAUUGAGACAGUUCUCUAAAUAAAACACAAAAUAGGGCUAUUAGUUCAGUGGUAAAGUAUCCCUGGUAAAAAAUCCCCAGUAUGAAAAGACAAACAAAAAUAGGCCCUUGAAUUCAAUCCCCAGUACUUGCUCCCCCCACCAAAAAAGGGAAUAGUACAGUAUACAUGCUAUGGAUCUGCAUUGGGAAUUAAAUGAGACAAUGCAUAUAAAAAGCUGAGUUUAAUGCCUGACAUUUAGUAGAUAAUCAAUAAACAUUCAGGUAUAAUACUAUAAUAUGUCAGAUGAUAUUUUCAUUAAACUAUGGAUUGAUAUCCUCUCA